CGACGAGCUGCCUUCCAUACUUUGGACGUAUAGAACAACUCAUAGGACAACCACAGGAGAAACCCCUUUUAUGUUAGCCUAUGGCAUUGAAGCAAUGGUCCCAGUGGAAAUUAGACUGCCAAGCCAUAGGAGACUCGUGCCAGAAAUCUCGGAGCAUACAACUGAACAUCUUGAUCUCUUGGAAGAAGUACGGGAGCAAGCCGCUAUAAAAGUGGCCUCUUACCAA
rnacentral:lncRNA from 1 species